rnacentral:piRNA from 1 species
UACAACAGGGAAGUCCUGGGGCAGGAACGU